rnacentral:lncRNA from 1 species
CAUCUCUCUGAUUCUUUGUAAGCUGCUUACAUACAAGCAGAAAAGAACAAGAAAGAAAAAAUUAAAUAGGAAAAUGGACUUCGCCUGGUGUGUGGUAUUUCUCUUAGAGAAUUUCUAGAUGUGUUUGAAGGGAUUCUCUUUGUAAAUUCCAGCUCAUUUCAAGAGAAAAAGCAGUAGGAAGACACUUAUCUGAAGAGAAAAGUUGGACUUGCCAUUGCUCAUGUAAUGGAAAUUUUAGAGUCUCCAGUAAUAACAAGGAAAGUGCUUCAUCUUCAAAGCGCCUUGAAAACAUUUGUUAUCUGAACAUCUGCAGGAUUGGAUGUCCUUCCACCGUUCAAAGUCUCUCCCACUACUGCACAAGCAGAGUUGGCCAUAUGAACCUGGCAGUUGCUUGGGCUGAUUUACUGCAGUUUGCAAUGCUGAGCAACUAA